rnacentral:rRNA from 1 species
GACGAACGCUGGCGGCGUGCCUAAUACAUGCAAGUAGAACGCUGAAGGAGGAGCUUGCUUCUCUGGAUGAGUUGCGAACGGGUGAGUAACGCGUAGGUAACCUGCCUGGUAGCGGGGGAUAACUAUUGGAAACGAUAGCUAAUACCGCAUAAAAACGGUUGUUGCAUGACAACUGUUUGAAAGGUGCAAUUGCAUCACUACCAGAUGGACCUGCGUUGUAUUAGCUAGUUGGUGGGGUAACGGCUCACCAAGGCGACGAUACAUAGCCGACCUGAGAGGGUGAUCGGCCACACUGGGACUGAGACACGGCCCAGACUCCUACGGGAGGCAGCAGUAGGGAAUCUUCGGCAAUGGACGGAAGUCUGACCGAGCAACGCCGCGUGAGUGAAGAAGGUUUUCGGAUCGUAAAGCUCUGUUGUAAGAGAAGAACGAGUGUGAGAGUGGAAAGUUCACACUGUGACG